ACAACCCCCUGCUCUGUGGCAGAACCUCGUAGCCCAGUAGUUCGGCUCCAGCCUCAGGCUCUUUUCAUGACUGAGCUAGGCACAGAGGAAUUUAGGACCUUCUCACACGCUUGAUAACUUGUUUAUUAUCAUAAGUCAGUGGCAGUGUUUCGUUCUUUUCUGUUCUCACGGGAGGCUCCUCCUUCCCAGAAUGCUGCCUGGCAUAUCGCAGAGCUAGGGGCAGCCAGCGAUCCUGCAGUCCUGACCGCGCCCGCUGCCUCUUUUCAUGUGGCCCUCCAGCAAAGACGUUUUCUCAUUUUUAAGUGCGGGGGCGGGGCGGGAAUCAAAGGACUAAUUUUUCGUGACUUGUGAAGAUUAUAUAUGAAGUUAAAGUGAUCUGGGCGCCCAUUUCCCCGACGUCGCCGGCCCACAGAAAACCCCUCCGCUGCCUACGUGGCCGCAGGCGCCUGGAGGCCGUGUUGGGAGCUGGAAGGAGGGCAGGGAAGGCAGAUGCCAGCGCUGGCCUCGGAGUGGCCACGGCCCACAGGGUGGAGUUGGGCACUGACAUCAGGUGCACCCGAACACUCCCCACGCUGGAAUCCGCCCACGCAGCUAUGUCCCCGUCAGACGGUUCCGGCACCUGAUUCGUCUCCGUGUUGGCGUCUGUCGACUGGUUUUCCUCCUCCAGGGUAUGGAUUUCCUGGUGUGACGGUAAUUUCAGAAACUGUAAUGGACGUAGUCUGGAGAGUGUGCUGAGAGAUCCGAGCCCCGUUUAAAGCCUCCGUUUGAGCAGUCACUUGGUUAGGGGCAGCACGUCCCGGCCCACUUUUGUGGGUUGUGGCUACAUGAGAAGUCGGUUUUCAGGGCCUUUUCACUUCUGUUCAUCUGUUACCACCGCAGCUUCCACUUCGUUCUGCUGGUGCUCCAUUGUCUAGGCUGCCCAGAACCGGUGGGGGCCUCUGGGAAAGGACGGACUGACCCACGGACGGAGAAUGCUUCCUGAGACCCGGUGCCAGCAAGGUUCCCACUCAGUCUCUGCCAGUCCCCCUGUGGGGGGCAGUCGGCAGAGCUGCGGGCCCGGGGGUGUGUGGGGAGACACUCGGCCCGGGCUGCCUUGCACUGCGGGGUGGAGGAGGGGCGCCCCGGGCUGCCGGCUGGUUUUCCUAGUCCUGGGUCUGGCCAGCCUACCGUCCUACCCCACCGUUCAGACACCUACACUUGGCUGCUGUAUUAUUUUUAAAUUUGUAUUUAUUGGGUUGGUCAAAAAGUUCCUUGACUUUUUUUCUGUAAAAUAAAAGUCACUUUUUAAAUUUUCA